GACGAACGCUGGCGGCGUGCUUAACACAUGCAAGUCGAACGGUGAAGCGAGAGCUUGCUCUUGUGGAUCAGUGGCGAACGGGUGAGUAACACGUGAGUAACCUGCCCCAGACUCUGGAAUAAGCGCUGGAAACGGCGUCUAAUACCGGAUAUGAAGUAGAGCUGCAUGGCUACUACUUGGAAAGUUUUUCGGUCUGGGAUGGACUCGCGGCCUAUCAGCUUGUUGGUGAGGUAAUGGCUCACCAAGGCGACGACGGGUAGCCGGCCUGAGAGGGCGACCGGCCACACUGGGACUGAGACACGGCCCAGACUCCUACGGGAGGCAGCAGUGGGGAAUAUUGCACAAUGGGCGAAAGCCUGAUGCAGCGACGCCGCGUGAGGGAUGACGGCCUUCGGGUUGUAAACCUCUUUCAGCAGGGAAGAAGCCUAUGGUGACGGUACCUGCAGAAGAAGCACCGGCUAACUACGUGCCAGCCGCCGCCGUAACAC
rnacentral:rRNA from 1 species